rnacentral:rRNA from 1 species
ACCUCGGAUCAGGUAGGAAUACCCGCUGAACUUAAGCAUAUCAAUAAGCGGAGGAAAAGAAACCAACAGGGAUUGCCCUAGUAACGGCGAGUGAAGCGGCAACAGCUCAAAUUUGAAAUCUGGCCUUCGGGUCCGAGUUGUAAUUUGUAGAGGAUGCUUUUGGUGAGGUACCUUCCGAGUUCCCUGGAACGGGACGCCAUAGAGGGUGAGAGCCCCGUCUGGUUGGAUACCGAUCCUCUGUAAAGCUCCUUCGACGAGUCGAGUAGUUUGGGAAUGCUGCUCUAAAUGGGAGGUAUAUGUCUUCUAAAGCUAAAUAUUGGCCAGAGACCGAUAGCGCACAAGUAGAGUGAUCGAAAGAUGAAAAGCACUUUGAAAAGAGAGUUAAAAAGUACGUGAAAUUGUUGAAAGGGAAGCGCUCAUGACCAGACUUGGGCUUGGUUGAUCAUCCAGGGUUCUCCCUGGUGCACUCUUCCAGCCCAGGCCAGCAUCAGUUCGCUGUGGGGGAUAAAGGCUUCGGGAAUGUGGCUCCUCCGGGAGUGUUAUAGCCCGCUGCGUAAUACCCUGUGGUGGACNG